UGGGGAAUUUUGGACAAUGGGCGCAAGCCUGAUCCAGCCAUGCCGCGUGAGUGAAGAAGGCCUUCGGGUUGUAAAGCUCUUUUGUCAGGGAGCAAGUCCUGAGUGUUAAUACCGCUUAGGGAUGAGAGUACCUGAAGAAUAAGCACCGGCUAACUACGUGCCAGCAGCCGCGGUAAUACGUAGGGUGCAAGCGUUAAUCGGAAUUACUGGGCGUAAAGCGUGCGCAGGCGGAUAGCUAAGUCAGAUGUGAAAUCCCCGGGCUUAACCUGGGAACUGCGUUUGAAACUGGCAAUCUAGAGUUUGGCAGAGGGGGGUAGAAUUCCACGUGUAGCAGUGAAAUGCGUAGAGAUGUGGAGGAAUACCGAUGGCGAAGGCAGCCCCCUGGGCUAAAACUGACGCU
rnacentral:rRNA from 1 species